AGACGGACUCUUGCUGUGUCGCCCAGGCUGGAGUGCAGUGGCGCAAUUUGGGCUCACUGCAACCUCCACCUUCCAGGUUCAAGCAAUUCUUCUGCCUCAGCUUCCCAAGUAGCUGGGAUUACAGGAAGCUGAGGUGGAAGGACUGCCUGAGCCUGGGAAGCAGAGUCUGCAGUGAGCUAUGAUUGUGCCAGUGCACUGUACCCUGGGAGACAGAAUGAAAAGCUAUCCAAAAAAAAGAGAGAGAGAGGGAUACAGGUCAAGUCCCAGAGAUAAAAGCAGUCAUCAGAUCAUGUCCAUGGUGGUUGGCCAGAAACAAAUGCCUUUUGGUCCACUGCUUGAGUGGCAGUAAACCAGCAGCAGAAGAGAAGGGCUGAGAAACACAGGUGAUACCUGAUUGCUACUUAUUGGGUUUCUUUUUUUGUGAUGGAGUCUUGCUCUGUCACCCAGGCUAGAGUGCAGUGGCGUGAUCUCGGCUCACUGCA
ensembl:lncRNA XIAP-AS1 XIAP antisense RNA 1